GACGAACGCUGGCGGCGUGCUUAACACAUGCAAGUCGAACGAUGAAGCCCAGCUUGCUGGGUGGAUUAGUGGCGAACGGGUGAGUAACACGUGGGCAACCUGACCCAAACUCUGGGAUAACUCCUCGAAAGAGGUGCUAAUACCGGAUACGAACUAGACAGACAUCUGUACGAGUUGGAAAGGUUUUCGGUUUGGGAUGGGCCCGCGGCCUAUCAGCUUGUUGGGGAGGUAACGGCUCACCAAGGAUACGACGGGUAACCGGGCUGCGAGGGCGACCGGUCACACUGGGACUGAGACACGGCCCAGACUCCUACGGGAGGCAGCAGUGGGGAAUAUUGCGCAAUGGGCGAAAGCCUGACGCAGCGACGCCGCGUGAGGGAUGAAGGUCUUCGGAUCGUAAACCUCUUUCAGUAGGGACGAAGCGAAAGUGACGGUACCUAAAGAAGAAGCACCGGCUAACUACGUGCCAGCCGCCGUAGUAA
rnacentral:rRNA from 1 species